GGUUUGAUCAUGGCUCAGAUUGAACGCUGGCGGGAUGCUUUACACAUGCAAGUCGAACGGCAGCACGGACUUCGGUCUGGUGGCGAGUGGCGAACGGGUGAGUAAUGUAUCGGAACGUGCCUAGUAGCGGGGAUAAUUACGCGAGCGGUAGCUAAUACCGCAUACGCCCUUCGGGGAAAGCGGGGACCUUCGGGCCUCGCACUAUUAGAGCGGCCGAUAUCGGAUUAGCUAGUUGGUGGGGUAACGGCUCACCACAGCGACGAUCCGUAGCUGGUUUGAGAGGACGACCAGCCACACUGGGACUGAGACACGGCCCAGACUCUACGGGAGGCAGCAGGGGGAAUUUUGACAAUGGGGGAAACCCCGAUCCAGCCAUCCCGCGUGUGCGAUGAAGGCCUUCGGGUUGUAAAGCACUUUUGGCAGGUGAAAGAAACGGCACGGGAUAAUACCCCGUGCAACUGACGGUACUGCAGAAUAAGCACCGCUAACUACGUGCCAGCAGCCGCGGUAAUACGUAGGCAGCAAGCGUUAAUCGGAAUUACUGGGCGUAGCGUGCGCAGUAUGGUUCGGAAAGAAAGAUGUGAAAUCCCAGAGCUUAACUUUGGAACUGCAUUUUUAACUACCGAGCCAGAGUGGUGUCGAGUGGGAGGUGGAAUUCCGCGUGUAGCAGUGAAAUGCGUAGAUAUGCGGAGGAACACCGAUGGCGAAGGCAGCCUCCGGGAUAACACUGACGCUCAUGCACGAAAGCGUGGGGGAGCAAAACAGGAUUAGAAUUCUGGUAGUCCACGCCCUAAACGAUGUCAACUAGCUGUUGGGGCCUUCGGGCUCCUGUAGCGCAGCUAACGCGUGAAGCGACUGCCCGGGGAGUAUUGGUCGCAAGAUUAAAACUCAAAGGAAUUGACGGGACUCAAGCGGUAGGAUGAAGGGAUUAAUUUCGAUGCAACGCGAAAACCUUACCUACCUUUGACAUGUCUGGAAUCCCAAGAGAUUUUGGGAGUGCUCGCAAGAGAACCGGAACACAGGUGCUGCAUGGCUGUCGUCAGCUCGUGUCGUGAGAUGUUGGGUUAAGUCUCAGUAACGAGCGCAGUUCCUAUUACAAUAGCGCGAAAGGCACUUAAUGAGACCGCUAUGACAAACCGAGGAAGGUGGGGAUGACGUCAAGUCCUCAUGGCCCUUAUGGGUAGGAUUCGACACGUCAUGUAUACCAGCCGGGACAGAGGGUCGCCAACCCGCGAGGGGGAGCUAAUCCCCAGAAACCCGAUCGUAGUCCGGAUCGCAGUCUGCAACUCGACUGCGUGAAGUCAGAAUCGCUGUAAUCGCGGAUCAGCAUGUCGCGGUGAAUACGUUCCCGGCCUUGUACACACCGCCCGUCACACCAUGGGAGUGGGUUUACCAGAAGUAGUUAGUCAACCGUGGCGAGGGCGAUUACCACGGAUCUGGGUGACUGGGGUGAAGUCGUAAAUGUAAGGUAG
rnacentral:rRNA from 1 species